CGGGAACUGCACGCAGUAUAUAUUUUGUGUGGCCAGGAACGCAAAUACAUGCAAGGUGAUCUUCAGUUGAGAUCUUUGAACAGAAAACUGUCUUGAAACACAUAAUAUGUAUAGAUAAAACGAGUAUAGCAACGUUAGACUGCAAAUAAAUAUAAGCUCCAACUCAAUACUUGCGUUGGAGCUUGCGUCGGACUGUAAACAAUGACACGCCGACGGAUGAGGAAUUCUAGCCCUGGAUGUCCGGCUCCACCGGUGCCCCGGAUAUAUCGUCCCCAUAGUCAGCCAACGCCUGCCCUCUGAUGGACAAAACAAGAGCCAGGAUGGCAGUGGGGAGAGGAUUUGGUUUCUUCGCAGAUGAUGGGGCUAUCUGGAAGCGAGGGAGGAACCUCCCCUAUCUGUUUAAUCCAAUUAAAGGUGCUUUGGAGAAAGUGACUGAGUGGACCAAUGACUGGGGUUUUAAAGUUUCUACAGUGUAUGGUGUUUUUCAUCGCCCGUCAUCAAACAAAACAUAAGGAGUAACACUGUCGUUUUUUAUCGGUCGUCAUUGAAAAAAACAUAAUGGGUAACACUGUUGUUUUUUAAUCGGCCGUCAUGAAAAAAAC
ensembl:lncRNA